rnacentral:rRNA from 1 species
GCAGUCGCCGCGGUAAAACGGAGGGUGCAAGCGUUAAUCGGAAUUACUGGGCGUAAAGCGCACGCAGGCGGUCUGUCAAGUCAGAUGUGAAAUCCCCGGGCUUAACCUGGGAACUGCAUUUGAAACUGGCAGGCUAGAGUCUUGUAGAGGGGGGUAGAAUUCCAGGUGUAGCGGUGAAAUGCGUAGAGAUCUGGAGGAAUACCGGUGGCGAAGGCGGCCCCCUGGACAAAGACUGACGCUCAGGUGCGAAAGCGUGGGGAGCAAACAGGAUUAGAUACCCCUGUAGUCCCUGUCUCUUAUAC